rnacentral:rRNA from 1 species
UACGGGGGGGGCAAGCGUUGUUCGGAGUUACUGGGCGUAAAGAGUGUGUAGGCGGUUCUCUAAGUUCGGUGUGAAAUCUCCCGGCUCAACCGGGAGGGUGCGCCGAAAACUGGAGGGCUAGAGUAUGGGAGAGGAAAGCGGAAUUCCUGGUGUAGCGGUGAAAUGCGUAGAUAUCAGGAGGAACACCUGCGGUGUAGACGGCUUUCUGGACCAUCACUGACGCUGAGACACGAAAGCGUGGGUAGCAAACAGG